rnacentral:lncRNA from 1 species
AUUCCAAAAAGUUGUGCCAAAUACGGCUAAGGUAAUCUAUGCCUGGGAUAAGAAAAUCCUUAGUUUUACGAAAAAUUCAAAGUUUUGUAAACAGAAAAUUUAUAAAAAUGACCCCAUUGUUGAUAUUUGUUAAGUUGUCCGAUAUUUUUUGAUUUUUAUUGGGGACCGUGUUGUCGAAUAUUUAGUUUUGCUGUGUAGAAUUUUGUAGACUCUUGUUUGUUUUGUUCUGACUAUGAUUCUAUCAAUAUUUUACACGACUUUAGAUUUAUUAUAACUUUAUUGACACCUAUUUCCUCGGGGUUUUAGUUCCUUUUUACCUGAAGUUUUGUCUUCUCCGAGACUUAUAUAUAUUCGUAACACUUUAAUAAUAAUCAUCGACCUCAUGUAGUUUCACCAAAAAAAUGGAUAAUUGUUUUAUCACUGUAAAUAAAGGUAAUUUUAGUUCAAUAGUCAUUUUAAAUUAAAAUAAUCCGGGUCACAAACAAAAGCCGUGUGAAACACAUCAUGUAAGAGAAAAAAAACGGAACAACAGAAGCACUGAACUGCUAAUAAAACAAACGCCAACAUACAUACAAACGGACUAUUUGAUAAAAUCUGCCAUAUUCCUGAGUUGGUACAGGACAUGUUUGACACAAAAUGGAGGGUUGAACCUGGUUUUAUGACUAGCCAAACCUUCCGUUUUAAUAUCCAAAUUGAAAAUACGGCUACCAUGACACUGUACGUGUCUGACAGGAAUACAGUACAAAAAAUGCUAGAACACUCAUGAUGGAGAAUUAUACAAAUAAGCAACAAAAUAGUGCAUUUCAACAUGUAAACCACAUAUUAACAACGAACAGCUGAAAUUGAUUUAUGACAAUACAUUAGUAAAGUAUGAACUGUGCGUCUCACUAAUGUAUCUACGCCACAGGUUAAAUUUCUAAAAAAAUCAUUUAAAAUUGGGAUUAAUUUGGUAAUGGUGUUAUUUGAUGUUUUUUCUAGUCAUUACAAGAAUGUAAAUAUAGAAUUGUAUAAUUAAUGUUGUACUUAUUUGUAUUUUCGAACCAUAUGUCUUAAUCAAACUGUGUAAAAACAAAUAAAUCCUGUAAUUAAUGUU